UUUUUUUUUUUUAAAUUUCCUAAGAAUCUUAAACCGAUUGCUCUGAUACAAUAAUUGUCACACCCCAAGAAUUUACAAUACUGAUAUUCCUGAGAUGUGACAAUCAAAACAUUUAUAUAUUUCUUGAUAGGACAAAUUCAGUGGCGAAUUCUUACAAGGUAACAAAAAAGUUAGCGCAACAACAAUAUCUUCCAAGGUUGAUCUUGACUAGCACUCAAAAUGAAUCCGCAUUUAUCCUGAAAAAAAUGUUUACCAUAGUUUGAUGAGUUUGGCUACUCAGUAAGUGAUCAUCAUAAUCCUAAAAUAAUCAUGGUUGAAAGAUAUCAAUAUUUUCAAAAACACCCAGUCAAAUAUUUUGGGCUCAAAGUCAGAAAGGUAGCAGUUUGUAAAAACAUUCUAGCAUAAUUGCCAAUCUAAUAUGUAUAGAAAGACUCUUAUAGAAAUUCAAAAAUACGGAAUUAUCACAAUUUAUGGGAUAUCAAUUCAUAAAUAAACAUUUCACAAUAAUGCUAUAAUCAAUUGCAAAACUAUCAAUUUUUAAAUAAUAA
rnacentral:lncRNA from 1 species